rnacentral:rRNA from 1 species
UACGAAGGGGGCUAGCGUUGUUCGGAAUUACUGGGCGUAAAGCGCACGUAGGCGGAUUGCUAAGUCAGGGGUGAAAUCCUGGAGCUCAACUCCAGAACUGCCUUUGAUACUGGCGAUCUCGAGUCCGGGAGAGGUGAGUGGAACUGCGAGUGUAGAGGUGAAAUUCGUAGAUAUUCGCAAGAACACCAGUGGCGAAGGCGGACUUACUGGUCCGGUUCUGACGCUGAGGCGCGAAAGCGUGGGGAGCAAACAGG